rnacentral:rRNA from 2 species
UGGGGAAUUUUGCACAAUGGGGGAAACCCUGAUGCAGCGACGCCGCGUGAUUUAGAAGGCCUUCGGGUUGUAAAAAUCUUUUCUAUGGGAAGAAAAUGACAGUACCAUAGGAAUAAGGACCGGCUAAUUACGUGCCAGCAGCCGCGGUAAUACGUAAGGUCCGAGCGUUGUCCGGAAUCAUUGGGCGUAAAGGGUACGUAGGCGGGUAAGCAAGUUAGAAGUGAAAUCCUGUAGCUCAACUACAGUAAGCUUUUAAAACUGCUCAUCUUGAGAUAUGGAAGGGAAAGUGGAAUUCCGAGUGUAGCGGUGAAAUGCGCAGAUAUUAGGAGGAAUACCGGUGGCGAAGGCGACUUUCUGGCCAUAAUCUGACGCUGAGGUACGAAAGCGUGGGUAGCAAACAGG